UACGUAGGGGGCAAGCGUUGUCCGGAUUUAUUGGGCGUAAAGAGCGUGUAGGCGGCUAGGUAGGUCCGUUGUGAAAACUCGAGGCUCAACCUCGAGACGUCGAUGGAAACCAUCUGGCUAGAGUCCGGAAGAGGAGAGUGGAAUUCUUGGUGUAGCGGUGAAAUGCGCAGAUAUCAGGAAGAACACCCGUGGCGAAGGCGGCUCUCUGGUACGUGACUGACGCUGAGACGCGAAAGCGUGGGGAGCGAACAGG
rnacentral:rRNA from 1 species